rnacentral:ncRNA from 20 species
AUCGUUCACCUCUGCAGUUGGCUCACCAGUGGCCUGGAGCUGUGCAGAGACGGAAGUAGGGGUCUUCCCGAAGGAACGCGCC